CAGUAGCCGCGGUAAUACAGAGGGUGCGAGCGUUAAUCGGAUUUACUGGGCGUAAAGCGUGUGUAGGUUGUUGUUCAAGUCAGUUGUGAAAUCCCUGGGCUCAACCUGGGAACUGCUUCUGAGACUGAACGACUAGAGUACGGUAGAGGGUGGUGGAAUUUCCGGUGUAGCGGUGAAAUGCGUAGAUAUCGGAAGGAACAUCAAUGGCGAAGGCAGCCGCCUGGGCCUGUACUGACACUGAGACACGAAAGCGUGGGGAUCAAACAGGAUUAGAGACCCCCGUAGUCCCUGUCUCUUAUAC
rnacentral:rRNA from 1 species